AUGUCUAAGCUCCGCGUGUGUGUUUUUCAAGACGGCACCUACCUUCCUGUGGACUUCCACAGUCACUUCUAUGAAGACGUAAGAGAGGCCGGCCCGUACCAGGACAUCCUGCCUUCCUCUCUUCCUGUGCCCCCGUCCCCGUUUGACCACAGGCUACCUCAUCAAAGGAACAACUGGAGGCCACCAACCUUCCCUCAGGGAACCGCGAGAGCGAGCGGGUUCGUGGAUGCUCAGCAACGGCGGAGAGAUGCUGAUCUUCCCUUUGAACUACGAGGCGAGUUAGUCUAGAACAACAAAUCCGCUGUGACAGGGCGUGUGAGUCAACGGUAGUCACCGAGUACAGACGCUCAAUCUGAUCGUAUUUAUUUGAUUCUUUUUGAGCGUUAUCUUAUGAGUCACCUUGAAGAAACCUGUCAGACGAAAUGAAUGGACAGAAAACGCUACACAAACAGUGUUUGAGUGGAAUCGGAUUGUAUGUACCAACAUGUGAACAAACACACUGUUUAUUCUGAUAUUUUCAUGCCGCCCACGUAUUUAUUUUUUUCUCCACUCCCUGGACUUUGUUUUGCUCCUCUACCUGUACACCCUCUGCUGGAUCCGUGGUCAUUGCCCACAGUCGUCCCCCUGCUUUGCCCUCCCAGUGGACAGGAAUCACUCAGGUAGAAACAAAGAGGGACUGACGCGUCUGUGGCGGGCGCAGGGGAGGAAGCAGCUCGGGCUCACGCUUCAGCCCAGGCAGACAUCAUCCUGUUUCACCCCGGCCACGUGGGAAGCGGAGGACGGCGGCCCUCUCCCACUACGGGCUGAUAACAACAGCCUCAGACCUCACGGUUAGUCCCUGGGAAUCCCCACAAUAGGAUAGCACUGAGCGGAAUUCAGCACGGCUGUGUCUCCAGGAGGUAAAGCCACAUCCAGGGCCAGGCGCUAAUCCAGUUUGCUUCUGGAUUGAAGUUCAGCUCCCGGAAUCGGCGCGCGAGAGGGAAACCGUGCGGAGAAUUUGUCUCAGCGAGGACGGACAGUCAAAGGGAUGGAGACGGAAGAAGAGGGUUAGGCUAAGCUGCAGCUUGGGCUGCUGCUACAAAAGAACCCACUUUCUUCUUCCUCUGGGUUUCAUCAUUCUUCAGUGGAAGCUUUUGCUCCAAAGUAAUACCAAUAAAUACUUUUCAUAUAGUGUUUUUCA
rnacentral:lncRNA from 1 species